rnacentral:ncRNA from 1 species
AAAGAGUUUUAUUCUUGCUUUUCCGUUCAGUUUUUGUUUGUUCUAUAUGUAAGUUUUUGCGUGAUUUCUUUAACUCUAAAUGGGUUGUUGGGGUUAUAGGAUUAUUCUCAUUAGUUGUUAUUGGUUGAUCAAAUAUUUUUGUAUCUAGCAAUACACUUUAGUCUCGGUUAAAUUUUGUGCCAGCAGCCGCGGUUAUACCUUGGAGGCGCCUGAAUGUGUUUGGUGUUAAGUUGGUAGUUAUAUUUUAUAUUGUUAAGGUAUUGUUUUGAUUGGUUGAUUAGGUGAAAUUUUUAUUUUUGUUUUUAUCUUAUAUUUAUUUGGAGGCUAUGAAAUUCUUUUUAUAAACUAGGAUUAGAUACCCUAUUAUUUUGGAAUGUUAAGUUUUAAUUUGCCUGAGUAGUAUUAGUUAUGUUCUUGAAACUUAAAGAAUUUGGCGGUAUCUCAUUCCAUCCAGAGGAAUCUGUCUCGUUAUCGAUAGUCCACGUUGGACCUUACUUGGAUUGCUAUAUGGUUUGUAUACCGCCGUUUAUUGAUUAUCUUUUUAGAGUUUAAGUAAUUUUCUAUCUUCUUUAUUUGGAUUUAUUUCAGGUCAAGGUGCAGCUUGUUUCUAAGUGAAUGAUGGAUUACAUUAAUAUUUGUUUUUUGGAUUGUUGAUUUUAAUAUUGACAUGAAAUUGGAUUUGGUUGUAAUGAUUUAUAGAUUGUUUUCAUGAUAAUGGUUCUGGGAUAUGUACACAUCGCCCGUCGCUCUCGUUCGAAUUGUUAAUGAGAUAAGUCGUAACAAAGUGGUUGUACCGGAAGGUGCAGCUGGAUUGAU